UACCUUAAUGUAAUUUCCACUUUGUUGAAAUGUUUGAUAAAUGUCUAUUUUCUGUUAAACAGGUGUCGUUUGCCCAGAUUUGCGACCAAUCUAACUCCAAUUCGAACAAUAUCUCUUGUCAAUUCUCCUGCAGAACAGCUAAGAAUCUCAUGUCAAAAUUUUAAAGGAACAUCGCAAGCUGAAGAUGAGCUGCUAAUUACACUUGCCUGGCAUAAAGAUUCAAUUGCUGAGCCAUCUACACAAUCAACACCUUCAACUUGUGGUACUUCCAGUUUAUAUAUCCCAUAUCUGUCUGUUGUUCUGUUCACUGAGAAGUUUAUCUGCUCUGCUGUUUUAGGUGACUCUGCUUUGAAUUUGCACUGGACAUGAACAUCCACACCUGAAACCAAUAACAAUGAAAAAAGUUUUAGCUUUCCUUUUUUUUUUUUUUUUUUCUGAUUGUAAUGCAUAAUAGAGCUUCACUGUUAGGCCAAUACCUGGCAAGAAGUAGCUGUGUCUAGAGAAAAUAUUAGUGGAGCAAGUAUCACAGUAAACAACACCAACAACACUGAUACUGGAGGUGGGAUUUGCAGGCUGAGCAAGUAAUGAAAAUGGGUUAGCAAAAAAAGUUGCAACAACAAGAAGAAGAAAACAGAUUGGAGCCAUGGGAGAAGUAGAGAGAAGCUUCUACAAGAGGAUCAUCACCUAAACUUGAGUUUGGUAAUUUAAACAAGUGAAUGAAUUAUUGAUUGAGCAAAUACUGAGCCCGUGAGUAGUUGAAGAGAAAUGGUUUUAUUUUAUUCACUAGAAAACAAAGACAUGUGAAGAGGCAUUGUGGAAGGCUGUGAAGAGAAAGGGUCUGGUCUGCAAACUCUGUAGAGGAUUGACAGGUAGUGGAGGACUGAUUUGGAGAACAUAUUUUUUUGUCUCAGGUACAAGUAAUGAAAAGGACAUUAUUGCUGGAUGAGAAGAUUGGAAUUUAUUGAUGUUCUGUAUACUUUGAAUUUGAUGGCUGGUUUUUCUUGCUUUGCUGACU